ACUCUCUCCAGAGUUUCAUCCCAAAAAUUGAUAACUCAAAGAUGCAAGCGUUCUUUCGCUGUAAUCAGCCUGGACUCAUUUAUCUUUGAUCACAAAAGCAACAUCCCUAUGUCCACCGCUAUUUGAAGCCGGAGGGGUGGGGGCUCCCGGGAUGCGAGGACACACCCCCAUAUGGUUCAAAACCGAGAUAAAAUCCCGUUCUUGGAGGGUCCCAGCGGCGGCGUUGUCGUUGUUCUUUCCGUUUCUUCCCCUCUCUCUCGCCCUCCGUCUCCAAACUCUCCCACAGUCACGCUCUCUCUUCUCUCUUCUCUUCUCUUUUCUUUUCUCUUUCUUCACACUUUCUCUUGUUUCUUUUUCUUUUCUUAAAGGCUUUUUGUACCCGAGCUUCUGAUCUCCGGGAUGGAGCAACCGGUUUCCUCUCUCUCUCCCGCUCGUUCCCGUCUGUCCUCUUAGUUUUCCUCGUUUCUUUUCUUUUUGUAUGUAUUUUUUUGGGAAGGGAAUGGAGGAGAGGUAGUGGGAGCUAGGGUUUCUACGUCCGACUGGUUCCGCCGGUUCUGUGAUCCAAGAUUCAGGGGUGUGGGAUCUUGGAUUUUUUUCCAAUGGGGAAAUCACCUGGGAAAUGGAUCAAGACACUUCUUUCUGGGAAGAAAUCGGCUAGAUCUCAUGCAACAAAUGGAACGGAUGCUUCGUUGCAGAAAUCUGGAACUGAUAAAGGUUAUAGUGGAGGAAAAGGACCUCCUGCAUUGGCUGGUAAUUCUCCAGUAAUUUCUGAACCAGUACUUGUCAGCACCGGCAAUAAUGAAAUUAUCCCAAAUUUAGAAAAGGGAACACCUUCCACUUUAGUUGGUGAUGGAGUAGUUCUUUCUGCAACAAGUCAGGAUGCAGAGAAACAGGAAUCUGCCAGAUACGAGGCAUCGAAUGAUCCUGCAAAACUCAGAGAAGAGCAAGCUGCUAUAAAGGCACAGGCAGCUUUUCGAGCUUAUCUGGCACGUCGGGCAUUUCAUGCGCUAAAAGGUAUUAUUAGGCUCCAGGCCCUAAUUCGUGGGCAUCUGGUAAGGAGACAAGCUGUUGCAACCCUACGUGCUUGGCAGGGUAUUGUAAAGUUGCAAGCUGUGGUUCGUGGCCAAAGAGUUAGGUGUUCUAGUAUCGGAUUUAAAAUACAUACAAAGCUUGCUCAAGGAAAUGCUGCGGUAACUACCAUAAUCUGGGGGGAUGCUAAACCCUUGGAUUCUUGGAAGGAGAAACUCUUGACGAAUGCAUUUUUUCGCAAGCUUCUUUCUUCAUCGCAUAUUGCAAAGCCUCUACAAAUACAGUAUGAUCAAGGGGACCCCAAUCCAGUCUUCAGCUGGUUGGAGAGAUGGACAUCCACUCAUUUUUGGAAGCUGCUUGAACGGCCAAAAAAGGCUACUGAUGCAAAAUCUCAUACAAGAAGGUGCAGUUAUGCUAUGGAAACCGAAUCAGCCAGAUCAAAGCGCAGUGUUCGGAGGAACUCUGCCGUGAAUGUUGACCCUGCUCAAACCAAUGUCACAUCUGAACCUGAGAAAACGAAAUGCAACCUGAGAAAAGUCUCUGGCUCUCCUGCUGACUCAGUACAAGAUCGUCCACAGACUGAGAUUGAAAAGGUCAAGCGUAAUCUAAGAAGGGUAUCUAAUUCCAUCACAGAGGCUUCUGAUCAUCUAGAGGUUGAAACUGAGAAACCAAUUCGGAAUGUGAGAAAGGUGUCAAGCUCCCCUUUUGAUGUUCCAGACCAAGGCCUUGAGAAAGGAGUUAUUCCGACUCCUGAGACCAAGCCUGAGGUGGAAACUGUCUCCAAAUCUGCAGUAAUGGAGGGACCUGCUGAUGCAUUGCCUGAUGACUCUUCUGCAACUGAAUUGCAUCAAUUGCAGAGAAUUGACAAUGAAGAGAAAGCUUUGGUGGUGAAUGGGGAGUUAAGCUCCAUGGAAGAACUACCUUGCCUCGAGAGUCAGAAAACCAAGAAGGGAAGGUCUUCUUUCUCAGCAAGAUCAGAAUAUGCGGAAAAUGGUUUACAGAACACUCCAGUCUUGCCAAGCUAUAUGGCGACUACUGAAUCUUCAAAGGCGAAAUUCCGGGGACAGAUUUCGCCAAGGUUUGGCUCAGAUUCAGUUGACAAAAAUGUUGACAAAAAUGGCAUCUCUCGUCGUCAUUCUCUGCCAUCUUCUACCAAUGGCAAGUUGAGUUCACCACGAACACAGAUACUAUUUCCAGCUAAUGGCAAGUGGGCCAAUAGAAGUUUCUUUUCAUCUAGAGAUGGAAAUGGUGUACUUUUGGGGUGUUAACUGUGCUUGGAUGUGUUCAGUAUGCUCUUGCCAGAGAUUGUGUACUAUGAAUGAAAAGGGCGCUUAGAGUAGAAUGGAGACGGUGAUGGAAGAAUGGGAAUUCAAAUAUAGCUUUGCACAAGAUGUAAAUGCUGAGAUAUCUGUGCACUUUUUGUCAUUAUUGUUUGUUUUGUGGUGUAAAGUUCUGUUGUCAUCCCCAAAUGGUUUGAUGAAUAUCUGGAAUAUGGUGUGUUUGAUGCCGUGUCUUAUUGUUGGGUUCAUGUGUGUUAUGUAUGUAUAGCUAAAAGCCUUUCAGGUUUGGUUUGUAUUUGUUCGAGCCUGCUAGAUCUACUGUUAAAUUUCUUCUGUAGUAGGACCACAAGUGAGAACUUGUUACUUGAAUGCACUCAUCUUAUUUGGAUAUCUGGA